GGGCUUGUGGUUUAGUGGUAUAAUACUCCCUUAGCAUGGGAGUGGUCCAGGGUUCGGUUCGUACACUCG